UGGCCAUGAGAACCUACCCUCUGCGAUUACCGUUAGGAUUAGAUUUAUUUCUUAGAAACUGUUAUUAUGUGCCUGCAGCAAGUAGGAAUUUGAUUUCUGUUUCAUGUUUAGCACAAAAAGGCUAUGUGAUUAGCUUUCAUAAGGACUAUUGUAACAUAUUUUAUGAAAAUAAUAAAGUUGCUGAUGGUUUUCUUAUUAACGGUCUCUAUCAGCUACAU
rnacentral:lncRNA from 1 species